CAAUCAAACCGGGAGAUAGCUGGUUCUCCCCGAAAGCUAUUUAGGUAGCGCCUCGUGAAUUCAUCUCCGGGGGUAGAGCACUGUUUCGGCUAGGGGGCCAUCCCGGCUUACCAACCCGAUGCAAACUGCGAAUACCGGAGAAUGUUAUCACGGGAGACACACGGCGGGUGCUAACGUCCGUCGUGAAGAGGGAAACAACCCAGACCGCCAGCUAAGGUCCCAAAGUCAUGGUUAAGUGGGAAACGAUGUGGGAAGGCCCAGACAGCCAGGAUGUUGGCUUAGAAGCAGCCAUCAUUUAAAGAAAGCGUAAUAGCUCACUGGUCGAGUCGGCCUGCGCGGAAGAUGUAACGGGGCUAAACCAUGCACCGAAGCUGCGGCAGCGAACGUAUCACCCAAGACAACUUUACGGAGUUGACGAUUGACGGAGCGAAGCGACGUCAAAGCGUUCAUUAAAGUCGAGUUGGCUUAGGGAUACGUUCGUUGGGUAGGGGAGCGUUCUGUAAGCCUGUGAAGGUGUGUCGUGAGGCAUGCUGGAGGUAUCAGAAGUGCGAAUGCUGACAUAAGUAACGAUAAAGCGGGUGAAAAGCCCGCUCGCCGGAAGACCAAGGGUUCCUGUCCAACGUUAAUCGGGGCAGGGUGAGUCGACCCCUAAGGCGAGGCCGAAAGGCGUAGUCGAUGGGAAACGGGUUAAUAUUCCCGUACUUGGUGUUACUGCGAAGGGGGGACGGAGAAGGCUAUGUUGGCCGGGCGACGGUUGUCCCGGUUUAAGCGUGUAGGUGUGUGUUCCAGGUAAAUCCGGUUCACUUUAACACUGAGGCGUGACGACGAGGCACUACGGUGCUGAAG
rnacentral:rRNA from 1 species